GAUGAACGCUGGCGGCGUGCCUAAUACAUACAAGUCGAGCGAAUGGAUUAAGAGCUUGCUCUUAUGAAGUUAGCGGCGGACGGGUGAGUAACACGUUGGUAACCUGCCCAUAAGACUGGGAUAACUCCGGGAAACCGGGGCUAAUACAGGAUAACAUUUUGAACCGCAUGGUUCGAACUUGAAAGGCGGCCUCGGCUGUCACUUAUGGAUGGACCCGCGUCGCAUUAGCUAGUUGGGGAGGUAACGUCUCACCAAGGCAACGAUGCGUAGCCGACCUGAGAGGGUGAUCGGCCACACUGGGUCUGAGACACGGGCCAGACUCCUACGGGAGGCAGUAGUAGGGAAUCUUCCGCAAUGGACGAAAGUCUGACGGAGCAACGCCGCGUGAGUGAUGAAGGCUCUCGGGUCGUAAAACUCUGUUGUUAGGGAAGAACAAGUGCUAGUUGAAUAAGCUGGCACCUUGACGGUACCUAACCAGAAAGCCACGGCUAACUACGUGCCAGCAGCCGCAGUAA
rnacentral:rRNA from 1 species